UCCGUGUUCACCACGGCAGUCUCUUUAGAGUGCCCAACUGAAUGCUGGCAACUAAAGACAAGGGUUGCGCUCGUUGCGGGACUUAACCCAACAUGUCACCACACGAGCUGACGACAGCCAUGCAGCACCUGUCUCCCGGCAGUAUUGCUACUGAAGCCCUAUCUCUAGGGUUGUCCGAGGAUGUCAAAUCCAGGUAAGGUUCUUCGCGUUGCUUCGAAUUAAACCACAUGAUCCACCGCUUGUGCGGGCCCCCGUCAAUUCCUUUGAGUUUUAGUCUUGCGACCGUACUUCCCAGGCGGGGUACUUAUUGCGUUAGCUCCGGUUCGGCGGGGGUCAAGACCCACCAAACCUAGUACCCAUCGUUUACAGCGUGGACUAC
rnacentral:misc_RNA from 1 species